CUGCACGCGCGCUACAAUGAUGCAUUCAACGAGCAUAGCUGCCUCGAAAGAGAGCGGCGAAUCUUGUGAAACUGCAUCGUGACGGGGAUUGAUGAUUGUAAUUAUUCAUCAUCAACGAGGAAUUCCUAGUAAGUGCAAGUCAUCAGCUUGCGCUGAUUACGU
rnacentral:rRNA from 1 species